UUAGGUCACCAAAUGAAACACACUCAACAUAACUGUCCUUUUAGUGUACACGGACCAUUUCCACACUCUCAAAGGUGGACAUAUUGUUUAAAACUCCCAUGUUGGGAAUUUAGGAGUUUGGCCAAGUGAAAUCCCUCUGUGGUCUAUGGUGUUCUCUCUGUGGUCUCUCUCUCUGUAUUACCAGGGGGAGAAAGUCUCCGCCAGGAAUUUAUUGCCUGAGAUAACAGAACCUGAGUGUAGGACAGAGUGAGAGAGAGGGGGAAGCCACCAGGUUUAAGCAAUUGGAAUUUCCUCUGCGUCCAAACAGCUAAACUGCUUCUUAAUAACACUGUCCUGUCGAAAUGUUGUUGCAACGCCAGCAAAAGGGUCAAUGAAAUUGUCACAUAUAUCCAUUGCAUCUUUUUCAAGUAGACCUGAUGUGCUUUCUGAAUGCUUCUUUAGCACUCCCUCCAUCUGCUUCCUGAGGUUGUCCAAUAGUGAUGACUGUUACUGCUGUACCCCAGCACCAAUGCCAUUCACACCUUUCUGAAAAUGAGAGAAAGAGAGAGAGAGAGAGAGAGAGAGAGAGAUGUCAUCAAUCAUGGAGGUCGGAACACACCAUCAUGUAUACUUAUACAUAUUCAUUAACAUAAGGACAUAAGGGAUCAACAAUAGUAAGGCGGACAACCUAGCACUAAGAAUUAACUCAACCAUCACUGAACCAUUACAAAAUGCUCUGCAUAAUGUAACUAACCAAAUGCUGUGCUCUGUUCAGAAAAAGCAUCUUACCUGUGAGAGACAAUGCUUGGCUCUGGCAUUUAUCACAAAAGCAGUGGCAUAUGUUGUCAGAUCCUAAAAAAAAGUUGACAUUGAAUGCAGUAUCCUGACAGAUAAUGACCAAAUGGAAUGCAAGUGCAGGCUGGACAUUACUAGUUCAUGACAAGUAUAAUGUUUGUGACAGGACUAUGAAUGCUAUUAGUAUAGCCAAGUACUUAAAAAAAUAUGGUCAAUUUCAGUAGAUUACCACCAACCGAGUAACUUACUUGUUGCACUGUGACAGCUCCAUGUUGGUCAAUGCCCCUUUGCCCUUCAUCUGAGUCAGGUGUAUGGAGUUGCUGAUCAGUGAUGCUGGAGUUAGCUAGAAGCUGAUCGGGUUGAAUGUUGUCCUGUGUACCACAUAUCAAAGAAACAGAUUAUUAUUUGAAAUUGUAUAUAGUUUCACCAAUAGAGCUAUUUAAGUGUUUUGUUCCCAUUUAUCAUUGAUUCUUUUCACAUUAACCCAGCUUUAGCCAUAAGAGUCAUUAUACCUAAAAUUAUCGAAUAGCCUAUGGAUAGUAUGACUUUGGUCCGUGUAUCGUCCGUUCAUUAAAUAAUUUUUUAACAUCCAGAAAACAAAAACAAAUCCUAGCUAGCUACUUGUUCCGGUGGUACUUGGCUUGCCUCCGAUGGCUGUUCACCUGGUCGGGUGCCUUCAAGUAGGUGUUGAAGGUGUCUUCUCUUUACAUGAUGAUAUACGGAAUUGUACACUCUAUAUUCUUCAGUGUAUCCGAGCAACCAGAAAGCAGAGCUGUGACUGUGCAAUCUAUUGAUAUGGCUCAAUAACAGUUUCAAUGAAAAGUCAUAAAAAGGCAGCAGAUAACGCACCGCCAAAGCAUCUUGAACGUUACUAAAAGCAAACGCAAGUAAAACGUUCCCACUGCUUUCUAUGAAAAGGAUGGAAAGAAUUGAAAAUGAAGUUCAGAAGUAUUUAUAAUACGACCAAGUAUUGGAGUAGAGAACAGCACUGGGACAUUAAACUAUACACGUAUCACUCCGCUUUACAGGUGUUCUAAUAACCGUUAAUUACAUUAACGACCGUUAUCUAUCUUAGAUUGUAACAAACUUCGCACCGCAGAGAUGAACAUAUUUCCACAAAUAACAUUUGAGUUAAAUUAUGAAUGGUCGUCAGGAGAGGACGGUAACGUGUAGACCUACACAAAGUAGCAAGCUAGUGUGCAGGAAAAUGUUUGUGGUGCUUCGCAACAGUCCAGUCCCAGUCCAGUUGUGGAACUAUGUGUGUUGGCGGAGCCAAAUAAAUGAUUAAAUAAAUAAACAAAUCAUAAUAUUUUGUCGCUUAUUACUGUUAGCUAAUAAAUGGCGCUUGAAGAACUGUUGUAAAGAAGCAGUAUCACACUCGAGGUCGUGCUGUUAUACUGAAUAUUAUUCUCUUCCGCACUCGGCCUGCAGCCUCGUACGUACGACCGAAUCACAGCCGUGCUGAUAUUCAGCACUCCCUCUUGUGUGAUAUUACUUAAGUGACAUAUGUUCAUCACAUUAUCUAGCUACAUAAGGGAGGCCUAUAAAAAAAAAAGUCAAAGGUGGUCCAAAUCUUUGAGUCAUCUAGCAAAACCAUGAAUGAAGAUGGAAUGGAUAACACAUAUCCUGGCAUGGAUCAUAUAUCAAAUGCAGUAUUGAAAGGUAAUGUUAAUUUGUUUAUACCCGUCUACCUUUCUCCUUAGCAAGCUAAUUUUAGCUAACGUUCAUUUGAAUUGGAAAGUUGGUAAACCAAGUUAGCAUGCUAAUUUUAACUAGAUAACGUUAUCUGUUAGCAGUUAAUAACUGCACGAACGGCCAUUCGUUGAAAACACUUGAACUUUGGUUAGAUUGAUAGGGCUUUAUUGCCAGAAAUAGUGUUAAUAAGGUGUAAAUGUGCCCUAAUGACUGGCACCGUCGAUUAUUUAGCUUCACCGUCUUUGGCGCCCUUUCUAUUGAUAAUAGAAAAUAAAUAGAAAGGGCCAAAAGACGGCGAAGCUCAAUUAUCGACGGUGUCAGUCAUUAUCUACAAUCUUAGCUAGGCAAGCAAAGAUUAACGUAACUAAGAUUUUCAAUAUGGGUGACAAUUUAGCGUUAGUUUCAUUAGCUUGCACUAUCUUUUGGUUUAAAGUAAUUAACGUCAACGUUAAUGAUAUACUGGUAGUCUAAUUUUGUUAGCUAACAUUAGCUAGCUUGGUAAAUCAUUCCGGCAUUAACUGGAAAGGGAAGACAGACAGUAUGCUAAUGUCUCAUAACCUAUAUCAACCUGACACUUUGCGUCUAUAAACUAUGUAUUAGUUGCUAAUUACUUAACUAUUUACCAAGUGGUUAAAUGUGUUUUUCAGCUGCUAAUGUAAGCACAGACAUGCUGCCCAGCCUCUCUAAGGAGGAUUACGGGAUCUCUUUCCCGGGCCAGAGCACUUCUUCAGAAGGAGAACCAUUUGGAGACUUUCUCAUGGUGAAAAUGAGGGUCAAGAAUCAGACCUGUGUAGACCAGGCACCUCCUCUGGGACCUGUGAUUUCAGCCCCACUACCACCCCCUUUCCCUCCUCCUCCUCUACCCUCUACCCCCUUCCACUCUCCAUCCCCCCACCCCUCUCCAAACCCAAGAGACCAACAUGGUGCCACCAGAACCGUACAGCUUGUCAGCCAACAGUAUGUCUUAUACACAGACACAGAGUUGGAGCAAUCAAGAAGCACCUUUUUUGAAUAAUAGCGUGCUGGACAAGAAGGAGACUAUAUCCUUUCCAAAGAUCUUCGCUGUUGAUUAAUCAGGAAUACAGUAACAAGCAUGAUUUCCAUUAAGAGAGCGGCAGGGAUGACUUCCAGUAUCCAUGCAGCCGUGAACUCACUGUAAUGGCGAAGCAUCUCAUAGACUACUACCCAAUGCUGCGGGACAGAUCUGCAACCAGUGGAGCUGAGUGGGAAUCUGUGAAGAAGCAGCUUUUGAAAAGGAUUCAGAGUGUGACAACCCCCAAAAAGAAGCAGGGAGCGACCCCUUCAAGAAAGAGGCCACGAAGCCUUAGCUUUCAGAGCAGCCAGGAGAUGUCCACUGAUGAGACUGACGAGUCCACCUCCUCAACUUUGAUCUUGGAGAGAUCCCCACAAUCUAGAUGCAGCACCCCAGAGGUUGAACAGUUGGGUGAAACUACUGAGAGCCUACAGAACCAGGCGAGACAUUAUAAAAUUCUACAGGAGAUGUACAAAACAAAGGCCAGACCCAACCAGAAGGAUGUUUCCCAGCUCCUGGACCUCAAGCAACACGGGCCUUUAUCGACUCUGAUGCUACUAAGGAGCAGGACGGGCCUACCAAGAUAUUCAAGCGUAUCCCUGCUUCAGAGAACUGGAUCAUGUUAUGGAUGAACUCCGGCGGAACCUCGAUCGAGGGAACUCCCGCUUCGUACCUGAACUGAAGACCCGCUGGGGGUACCUUUUACAACAAGGCACAGUUUUAUGGAGUGCUCAAAAGGUCAUGAAGCAACCGCUGCUGGACAAAGUGAAGCACUCAAUCGCCUUGAUGAAGGCUUUACCAGACAUGUUCCCAUCAGCUGUGGCUCCAACGAAGACGUUAGGACAUGCAAUCUGCAGAAGAUCCCAACACCUUUCUUCAGGCAAGACCACUCUUCAGCCCUGUCGUGAUUGUUUGCAAAACCAACUGCAAUCUGGCCAUUGGAACCAUGCCUGUGGUGACCUUCCCAAAAGAAAACAUCUAUGCAAGUGUGACGUAUCUCAUGGCGUGUUAUUACGCCUUUCACCUCACAUAUCCUAAGUUCAUUGCGACACUCCUCUCUGUGCUGCAGACAGAAGUCCUCUCGGACCCCAUCCACGACCGGGACAUGACUUCUUCAUAUAAAAAGGCUAUGGCCGAGUGGAAAAAGUUCAUUACUGACUAGGGUUGCACAAUAACAAAUUUAAAAAUUCCGGUCCCGAUAACAGAACUGUGUGUAUCGACCGAUCCGAGAACCGAUCCGAUAACCUUAAAGCACUGUUACAUUUGUUAUCUUGCCAUAGGUCUUGCUUUUUCAUUUUCACAUUGACCACCAAUGGCCUUUGUUGUUGUUGUUUUUGCAUCCUUUGUUCUGCCCAUAUGCAGCCUCUGGAUAAAGAAUUGAAAAGAAGUUAGAGGCAUUCUUUCUUUAAGCAAGCCAAUCUUAUUUCUAGUAUUAGUACAAGUACAUUUAUCUUAGUCAGGAUUACUUAUUUUAAGCACAAUAUGCAAUUUUUCUGUUAAUUCCAGGGUGUUUGGCCUUAUUUCAAGACGAUUACAAUAGCAAAUUUAAGCACAUUUUCCUACAUAGAGCAAAUUAUUCUUAAAUCUUUUCUUUGUGUCCAGACAAAUGUACUUGUUUUUAGUGUAGCUGUACUGGUUUUAAGAUAUAUUUACUAAACAUAUAGCCUUAUUUCAAGAUGAUGGCACUAGCAUUUGCUAAAUUUAAGCACAUUUUCCUACAUAUUGAAAAAUGAUUCUUAAAUUUUUUCUUUGUAUCCAGACAAAUUACUUGUUUUUAGUCUGGCCGUACUAGUUAUAAGAUAUCUUUGCGUUCUUUGAGAAUAGAUAUUUUUACUUGUUUAAAAAAAUCUUGGCAAGUGAAAUUUUCCUGUUCUGUUGGCAGAUCAUUUUGCUUAUUUUAAGUAAUAUUUCCCCCAUUUUAUUGCUUUUUUAAAAUAUUUUUUUCUUGAGAGCUGACUUUUUGCAGUGAUGUUGUUGAUUUGAAUAAUAUUUCUUGGUCCGUGGUGUGUAAUGACGAGCAACCAGCCGCUGAACUUGACACAUUUAUGAAAUUGCAUAUCCCAGAUACUAAUAAGCAUGGACCCAUUAAGAAAAUGACUGUAAAAACUGUUAAAUCCCUGUGGAUUGAUGAAGAAUUGAAAAAUGGUGUAGUUGAGAGGUGUCAUGACUUGCCAGUCCUGUGCUGGAGAUUAAAGAUGCCGGCUAGACAAAGGUCAGAACCCCACCCCCAACCUCUCCUGGGGCUGUUGGCCAGUUUUAUGAUGGUCGGAAAUACCUUUCCUUGCCAGGCAGUAGUGGUGGGGAAACAGCCUUUUUGUUACAGAGAUUUCCCAGUAGAACAAAGGAUCCUUUCCCGCCAAGACUCCAACAUCUCAAAAAUGGAGAAUGAAACAAUAUUUAUAUUUUGGGCAAUGCUGGAAAUGGUCAUUGGAGACUAAAAUAACCCUCAUGUCGAAUUUGUUUUUUUAUGUUGUGACAUCAUGAAAGACGGUAGAACCACAUAACUGUAUCUCUGUUUAUCUACUCUUCUCAAUUAUGAGGUUUGCAUCUGAAUGUUGUAUGAAAUGAAUGAUUAAGUAUCAGAAUACUUUUGAAAAGAUAGAACUGUGACUUUAGUCUUCUAAAUGAGAAAGUGUUUUUUCAUGUAAAUUUUCCCAGUCAGUAACCACGCCCACGUGUGCACAGACAUUAUGCCAAACGUAAUGGAACGCCCUUUUCCCCCAAGUGUGUAAAAGGACUUGCUGAAUAAUUAACAUAUUAGACCAGUUACGUGCAGCGCCAGCUGAAUACGUUACAAAUGGUUAAGAAAUCUACCACUCUAUAGACCAAGCAGACUGAGGUGUAUAAGGACAUGGCAAUCUCUGGUGGCCGAACCAGAGUCGUACACUCAACAUCUCCGUGACCAAAGGAUUUGGACAAUCAAUGACAGCUCAAUCGUAAAUAUGUCAAUUGCAUUCCUUUUACCAAAUGAGCGGUUACUGGAGUGCUUAAGAUUUUGUAUUUCCCAAUGUCCGAUAGAGUAACUUCUUUGUCUCCAUUCCUCCCCCGUCCUCUCUCUGAAUUCGCCAUGGUGUUAUAACCAAACUGUCCUGUUUCGUUAGUCUUCUAAGGACUAUUUACUGUAUAAUGUUAGUAUGUGUUUGUAUAUUCUGUAAUUGUUUAAUUAAUCAGUAAAUAAAUAAUUGCGCCUAUUUGUGUAUUCCUGAUUCAUCGAUAAAGUAGGGUUCGUGCAGACUAUAAAGAAUUACAACGUUCAGAAGGACUGAUGAGGUAAUAAUACAUUAAUGAGUGACUAUAAUCAAUAAAAUAUGAAAAUAUAUGAAGAGUUACAUUCGUGAGAUAGUAACUCUUUAAAUAACAUUUUCCUGUGGUGCCCCGACUUCCUAGGUAAUUAAUAUUUACAUGAUUAGUUUAAUCACGUAAUAAUUACACAUAGAGAAUUGAUUUGAUAAUAUAACAGUCUUCACUUUAAUGAUCGUCACAUCAUGACAUAAUUGAUGCCCCUGUGCGAGGAGUCUAAGAUAGAACGAGACGUUACUGUUGUAUUAAGUAUAUAUAUGAAUUACUAGGCAAACAGACUGCGUUGUAUACGAAUAGAGCCGUAGGCAGGAUUUUGUUGUGUCUGUGUAACCAUAGAAGUUGUCCCCGGUGUGGUGUAUCUGAUGACGUCAGAGUAGUAUGAGUUGUUAAAUUUCAGAUAUAGUCCAUUAUGCCAGACGUGUACUAUUUCUGUCACUCGCAUUUCAGGAGCGAGUGAUUCGUUCAGUAUUCAUUUCUAGAGCGAUGGCAUGGAUCCAGCAAUGUUAGAAAUUUGAGGAUAGAUCUAUUUGUUGACCGGGCUGGAGUAUUAUCUAUCCGUCUAUCGCGCUUAGACAGCGUGAGUAGGCCACAGGCGUAUCUCUUUUUAUGUUACCGUGCUUUGCGGUAAUAUAGUGCUAGCAGAAAAUGCCGAAUGGGUUGAAUGUGAGACGUCAAUAGUAAACCCCCUUCCCGUAGUGUAAGUGAUCCUGUUGUGUGCUUGGAACAGUAUAAGAACAGCUAGCUGUGCACGAGAUGAUAAAGCUAACAAAGGGAAAGCAGCCAUUUUUCCUGUGUCACGUUGAAAUUCCUCCGUCUUGGGCAAUGGAAAUCCCGCCCCUCUGUAAUCUCGUUCGAGUUCAGCUUUGUGCAAUCAGUGACCUCUAGUGGUGAAGAAUCCUACCUGCAGAGGGGCCUGUGGCACAGUCAGGUCAAACAGGA